rnacentral:rRNA from 1 species
UCCUACGGGAGGCAGCAGUGGGGAAUUUUCCGCAAUGGGCGAAAGCCUGACGGAGCAAUACCGCGUGAGGGAAGACUGCCUAUGGGUUGUAAACCUCUUUUUUCAGGGAGGAAUAAAUGACGUGUACCUGAAGAAUAAGCAUCGGCUAACUCCGUGCCAGCAGCCGCGGUAAGACGGAGGAUGCAAGUGUUAUCCGGAAUCACUGGGCGUAAAGCGUCUGUAGGUGGUUAAGCAAGUCAACUGUUAAAUCUUGAGGCUCAACUUCAAAAUCGCAGUCGAAACUGUUUGACUAGAGUAUAGUAGGGGUAAAGGGAAUUUCCAGUGGAGCGGUGAAAUGCGUAGAUAUUGGAAAGAACACCGAUGGCGAAGGCACCUUACUGGGCUAUUACUGACACUCAGAGACGAAAGCUAGGGUAGCAAAUGGGAUUAGAUACCCCAGUAGUCCUAGCCGUAAACAAUGGAUACUAGAUGUUGAACAGAUCGACCUGUGCAGUAUCAAAGCUAACGCGUUAAGUAUCCCGCCUGGGAAGUAUGCUCGCAAGAGUGAAACUCAAAGGAAUUGACGGA